AGAGUUUGAUCAUGGCUCAGAACGAACGCUGACGGUAUGCCUAAUACACGCAAGUCGAACGAGAAAGCUCCUUCGGGAGUGAGUAGAGUGGCGCACGGGUGAGUAACACGUAGGUGAUCUACCUCUUGGAGUGGGAUAACCCUGAGAAAUUGGGGCUAAUACCGCGUAAGUUUAACAAAUUUGGAAAUAGUUAAAGAAAGGAUGCCUCUAUACUAUGCAUUCGCCGAGAGAUGAGCCUGCGGGACAUUAGUUUGAUGGUGGGGUAAUGGCCUACCAUGACUUCGAUGUCUAGCGGAUCUGAGAGGAUGGUCCGCCACACUGGAACUGAGACACGGUCCAGACUCCUACGGGAGGCAGCAGUAGGGAAUAUUGCGCAAUGGGGGAAACCCUGACGCAGCAAUACCGUGUGAGUGAGGAAGGUUUUCGGAUUGUAAAACUCUGUCGAUGUGGAAAAAUGGCAUAGGAUCUAAUAGGUCUUAUGAUUGAUGGUACACAUAAAGGAAGCACCGGCUAACUUCGUGCCAGCAGCCGCGGUAAUACGAAGGGUGCAAGCGUUGUUCGGAUUUAUUGGGCGUAAAGCGCGCGCAGGCGGAUUAUCAAGUCAGAUGUGAAAUCUCGGGGCUCAACCUCGAAACUGCGUCUGAAACUGGUAGUCUAGAAUUUUGGAGAGGGAAGGAGAAUUUCGCAUGUAGGAGUAAAAUCCGUAGAGAUGCGAAGGAAUACCGGAGGCGAAGGCGCCUUCCUGGCCAAAUAUUGACGCUGAGGCGCGAAAGCGUGGGUAGCAAACAGGAUUAGAUACCCUGGUAGUCCACGCCGUAAACGAUGUGUACUAGGCUUUGGA
rnacentral:rRNA from 1 species